UUUCUAAUAGUGUUUAACUCAUCAGUUCGAAACUAUAGAGGGCCGCAUAUCAAGUCAUCCAGAACCAUAAACUUUGAGCAAUUGUCAUUGAUCCAGAUUCCAUCACAACGUAUGGAACCGUUUCAUAAUCUCUAAAGAAAGUGAUAACAAGGAAACAACAGCUUCAUGCCAUCAUUUUUCUCCUCAAGACGAUUCGAGGUACUGUAUAGAAUUAUCAAAAUGUUGAAUGUUUGUAUACUUCUUGUUCUGUCUCCAUUGUGGCCCCAUUUUACGGAUGGCUAUCUUCAAGUACAGCCUACAGGUACAAUUACAAAAGAAUUUGGGGAAACGUUUGUGUCUUUCUGUUACUACAACGUUUCCAAGGUACACCGAUGGAGCUUUGGAAGUCAAAUAAUAACAG